CACAGACACACAAAGCUGGAGUUAUUCUGUGUUUGCUGCACAGCUGCCUCUUCUUCUCUCAUUCUCUCCCCUUCCUCUCCUGUUUCUACUUCAAUCAUGAAACUGAUCAAUGAUCAGCUGAUCGGCUUUUCUUUUUCUAUUUCAAUUUUUUUUUCUAUUGGUAGGUGGCACAGUGCACUUGUGGCAAGUAAGCAAGCUAGAAGACUGGCAAAGUUAUGGAAGCAACACAUUAACAAGAGAAUUCUGAGUAAAACCAAAGUUACUUUCCCUAAUAACUAGUUACUUUGAAAAUAACUUGAAGUAACUCAGUUAGUUUUGAUAGAAGUAAGUAGUAAUGUAACUAAGUUACUAAUUUAAGUAACUUACCCAACACUGCUCCCGACGCAGGGAAAAGCAGUAAUGCAGGGGAGACCUACCUCGGCCUUGUGCAGGUGAAGCCAAAAAGAAGAUAUGCUUCACCAUAUUUUCUAGUCUUUGGCUUAGAGUGAAGUUGGUUUCGAAACAUAUUCAGCGAUGUUUCAUCUCCUGCUUUGCGUUUGUGUGGACGUCCCGUGUCCAAGCUUUUUUUUUUUUUCUCCCCUUUUCACACCACGCCCUCGGUGCAAUGGUUCAACAAGGUUGAUAACUAACUUUGCCCUUAGAAUUAAAACACAGUAUAUUUAAACUGCUUUUCACCUGUCAGAUAUAAACCCUACUGUCUACUGGGUUAGCAGACUGAACAGCAACCAUUACCUCUAUUGAUCAACAUAUUUGUGCCUAUAGGCACGUGUGUUUUCAACUGUAUUUGUGAAUUUGUGUGUGUGUGCAUGCAGCAAUGUUUGUGAGACCUCCCGCCUGCUCUUCCAUUGACUUUCACUUUGGCCGAUACAGGAUGUCAAUUUAUCAGUCGAUUGAAUAUCUACCAGUCCUUUAUUUAUGACAACACUGGAUGAAGUGUUGCUGCUCCUUUUUCUUCUUCUCUGAAGAGGUGUGGAGAGAGACAAGUGUGUGCAUGUGUGGGGAGAAGGGGGGAGGGGAGGACAAGAGAGAAGCAAAAAUCAAUGUAUUUUUACUGAAAGCUCUUGUGUAGCAGGAACACAGACAGGAAGGAAAGGGGCAGGACAGAGAAAGGGGAAGGGGUUCAGGGUAAGAAAAGCAGUCUGAAAGGAAAGGACAGAGGGUAGGAGCUUUUUUUAUGUCUCCACUCGCUUUCGUACUACUCAG
ensembl:lncRNA